GGGCGGUUAGCUCAGCUUGGUUAGAGCGCCACGUUGACAUCGUGGAGGUCGCUGGUUCGAUCCCAGUAUCGCCCACCA
rnacentral:tRNA from 1 species